CCUUGAUUGAACUAACAAUAAACAAGUGUUUUGUCAGCUUAUCUGACAAAGUACAGUAAUAUAUAUCACUGGAUACCAGUCACAUAUUCCUCUGCCCUAUUUGGUUGACAAACAGGAAAAUUAAAUAUGCCAUAAUUGCUGUACCAUUUCAGGGUAUCUUCCAGACACCAACAACAUUUAAUCCAUUGUUUUCCAAAUGCAGUUCAACUCAUAGGUCUAAUUAAAGGCAGCCGAAUUAACCCUUACCAUGCUCUAAUCAAUCAUACCACCUCUAUUGGGUAACCUGUCUAUGCAUCCACUACACACAUAACAUUAACCAACUAUAUUUUGACAAUUAAACCAUGAAUACACACCCCGUUGAUUGACAAUAAAUAUUGUUCAUUGGGCAUGGCAACACACAUAUAUUGUGAACUCCCAUUAAUAUCUCCCUUCUCAAUAGCUGCCUAAUGUCCCUUCAGUGUUGUCACUGGGUCUACUCCACAGGAAUCUCGGGCGCUGGGUAUGACAUCUUGCAUCCCAUAGGCCUGGAAGACAGCGAUUGUCUGCCAGCGCUAUUUGCAUCUUCUCUC